rnacentral:rRNA from 1 species
CCUACGGGUGGCAGCAGUGAGGAAUAUUGGUCAAUGGCCGGAAGGCUGAACCAGCCAUGCCGCGUGAAGGUCAGUGCCCUAUGGGCGUUAAACUUCUUUUGUGCGGGAGCAAUAAUGGUCACGUGUGGCCAGACGAGAGUACCGUACGACUAAGCAUCGGCUAACUCCGUGCCAGCAGCCGCGGUAAUACGGGGGAUGCAAGCGUUCUCCGGAUUUAUUGGGUUUGAAGGGUGCGUAGGCUGGGAGGUAAGUCAGCGGUGAAAUGCUCCCGCUCAACGGGGUGAAGUGCCAUUGAUACUGCCGUGCUGGAAUGCAGAUGCCGUGGGAGGAAUGUGUGGUGUAGCGGUGAAAUGCAUAGAUAUCACACAGAACACCGAUUGCGAAGGCAUCUCACGAAUCCGCGAUUGACGCUGAUGCACGAAAGCGUGGGUAUCAAACAGGAUUAGAUACCCUAGUAGUC